rnacentral:rRNA from 1 species
CCUACGGGUGGCUGCAGUGGGGAAUAUUGGACAAUGGGGGGAACCCUGAUCCAGCCAUGCCGCGUGUGUGAAUAAGGCCCUCGGGUUGUAAAGCACUUUCAGUGAGGAAGAACGCCUGGUGGUUAAUACCCAUCAGGAAAGACAUCACUCACAGAAGAAGCACCGGCUAACUCCGUGCCAGCAGCCGCGGUAAUACGGAGGGUGCGAGCGUUAAUCGGAAUUACUGGGCGUAAAGCGCGCGUAGGUGGCUUGAUAAGCCGGUUGUGAAAGCCCCGGGCUCAACCUGGGAACGGCAUCCGGAACUGUGAAGCUAGAGUGCAGGAGAGGAAGGUAGAAUUCCCGGUGUAGCGGUGAAAUGCGUAGCGAUCGGGAGGAAUACCAGUGGCGAAGGCGGCCUUCUGGACUGACACUGACACUGAGGUGCGAAAGCGUGGGUAGCAAACAGGAUUAGAUACCCUGGUAGUC